rnacentral:rRNA from 1 species
AAAUUGAAGAGUUUGAUCAUGGCUCAGAUUGAACGCUGGCGGCAGGCCUAACACAUGCAAGUCGAACGGUAACAGGAAGCAGCUUCCUGCUUCGCUGACGAGUGGCGGACGGGUGAGUAAUGUCUGGGAAACUGCCUGAUGGAGGGGGAUAACUACUGGAAACGGUAGCUAA